rnacentral:pre_miRNA from 1 species
UUACUACUCCCUCUGUUCGGAAUUACUUGUCGCAGAAAUGGAUGUAUCUAGAUGUAUUUUAGCUCUAGAUACAUCCAUAUUCGAGACAAGUAAUUCCGAAUGGAGGGAGUAGUUG